UACGUAGGGUGCAAGCGUUGUCCGGAAUUAUUGGGCGUAAAGAGCUCGUAGGCGGCUUGUCGCGUCGGCUGUGAAAACCUGGGGCUCAACCCCGGGCCUGCAGCCGAUACGGGCAAGCUAGAAUUCGGUAGGGGAGACUGGAAUUCCUGGUGUAGCGGUGAAUGCGCAGAUAUCAGGAGGAACACCAAUGGCGAAGGCAGCUCGCUGGAACGGUACUGACGCUAAGGCGCGAAAGCGUGGGGAGCGAACAGG
rnacentral:rRNA from 1 species